rnacentral:rRNA from 1 species
UACGGGGGGGGCAAGCGUUGUUCGGAAUUACUGGGCGUAAAGGGCUCGUAGGCGGCCAACUAAGUCAGACGUGAAAUCCCUCGGCUUAACCGGGGAACUGCGUCUGAUACUGGAUGGCUAGAGGUUGGGAGAGGGAUGCGGAAUUCCAGGUGUAGCGGUGAAAUGCGUAGAUAUCUGGAGGAACACCGGUGGCGAAGGCGGCAUCCUGGACCGACACUGACGCUGAGGAGCGAAAGCCAGGGGAGCAAACGGG